CCGUGGCCCCCUGGUGGCGAUAGGGUGUGAACCCGGUCAGAUCCGGAAGGAAGCAGCCGCAGCAGUCGAUUCGGGUACCUGGAUAAGGCUCGGCGGC
rnacentral:SRP_RNA from 1 species